GGUUAGGGACCAUGUGGUCUAUACACAAUAACAAUGGUGAUUGGAGUUUAGGGACCUUGCAGUCUAUACACAAUAACAAUGGUGAUUAGAGGUUAAGGACCAAGUGGUCUAUACACAAUAACAAUGGUGAUUGGAGGUUAGGGACCAGGUGGUCUAUACACAAUAACAAUGGUGAUUGGAGGUUAGGGACCAUGCAGUCUAUACACAAUAACAAUGGUGAUUGGAGGUUAGGGACCAUGCGGUCUAUACACAAUAACAAUGGUGAUUGGAGGUUAGGGACCAGGUGGUCUAUACACAAUAACAAUGGUGAUUGGAGGUUAGGGACCAGGCGGUCUAUACACAAUAACAAUGGUGAUUGGAGGUUAGGGACCAGGUGGUCUAUACACAAUAACAAUGGUGAUUGGAGGUUAGGGACCAUGCAGUCUAUACACAAUAACAAUGGUGAUUGGAGGUUAGGGACCAGGUGGUCUAUACACAAUAACAAUGGUGAUUGGAGGUUAGGGACCAGGUGGUCUAUACACAAUAACAAUGGUGAUUGGAGGUUAGGGACCAUGCAGUCUAUACACAAUAACAAUGGUGAUUGGAGGUUAGGGACCAGGCGGUCUAUACACAAUAACAAUGGUGAUUGGAGGUUAGGGACCAGGCGGUCUAUACACAAUAACAAUGGUGAUUGGAGGUUAGGGACCAGGCAGUCUAUACACAAUAACAAUGGUGAUUGGAGGUUAGGGACCAGGUGGUCUAUAAACAAUAACAAUGGUGAUUGGAGGUGAAGAACUACAAAGAGAUGAUCCCGCAAGACUAAGAAGAAGAAUUUCAAAUGUGCUAAAGCUAUAAGCACUUUGCUCAGACACUCCUAGGUCAGACUGAAAUAUUGCAGCAGCACCAGCACCUUUGCCAUCUGGUCGAGGGUUAUGCUGUAAUCAGCUGGAGUAGAUUCAUUUAGUGCCAUGAAUUCAUUCGGUUUAAGUCAGGUCUCUGUAAGGCAUAAGGACCAAGACUAAAAUCAGUAAUCAUUUCAUUUAUUAGUAGUGUCUUAGGAGCCAGUGAUCUUCCAUUCAAAAGUCCAAGUUUUAGCCUUGCAUUACACCUAUUAUCUAAUAAUGGAUUUGGUUUAAUUAUUAUUAAGUUAUUAUGACAUUCACUAUGGUGGAAUAGACCUCCAUGAUUAAAAGCGCAGGGAACAGACACAGUCCCAGUAACAUGAACCCCAGGUGACGACUCUAAGCACCUAGCAGGUGGUCGGUUAUGCCGGUUUGCCUGCCACCUGGACUUGGCCCUGGCUAGUCAGCGAUUUGCCUGGAGACUAUGAGCUAUGCUUUCGGACAGGAGAUCGGCACCAGCCCACGAGGGGUGAACACCGUCCCUCUUCAAAAGCCCAGACCUACCCCCAAACAUUUGCCAAUUGUCUGUAUAACCCUAAGGCAUUUUUCUGGCACCAUUCCGACAGCCAGCGAUGCAGCGACGAUAAUCUGCUGUAUAUUUCAUCACCACGUCUAGCAGGGAUGGGGCCAGAGCGCGUUACUGACACACACAUCUUCUUCACAAGGCUGCACACCUCUAUGAAAUUUGUCUGUGUAACUAUUGACUAUGAAUUGCAGAAUCAUGCACAGACAAUAGUUAUAGCUCUACAUUAAUUUUAUCGUUCUUUUUUUUUUUUAAGAUGUGAACAGAAUGUGCAGCCGUGUUGAGGGACCAGGCAGUCUAUACACAAUAACAAUGGUGUUAAUGGUUCCCUGACUAUGAAACUUGAAAGGGAGGGGGGGGUGACCUAUAAUAUAUUUU